GAGGACCGAACCGACUAAUGUUGAAAAAUUAGCGGAUGACCUGUGGCUGGGGGUGAAAGGCCAAUCAAACCGGGAGAUAGCUGGUUCUCCCCGAAAGCUAUUUAGGUAGCGCCUCGUGAACUCAUCUCCGGGGGUAGAGCACUGUUUCGGCUAGGGGGCCAUCCCGGCUUACCAACCCGAUGCAAACUGCGAAUACCGGAGAAUGUUAUCACGGGAGACACACGGCGGGUGCUAACGUCCGUCGUGAAGAGGGAAACAACCCAGACCGCCAGCUAAGGUCCCAAAGUCAUGGUUAAGUGGGAAACGAUGUGGGAAGGCCCAGACAGCCAGGAUGUUGGCUUAGAAGCAGCCAUCAUUUAAAGAAAGCGUAAUAGCUCACUGGUCGAGUCGGCCUGCGCGGAAGAUGUAACGGGGCUAAACCAUGCACCGAAGCUGCGGCAGCGACACUCAGGUGUUGUUGGGUAGGGGAGCGUUCUGUAAGCCUGCGAAGGUGGCCUGUGAGGGUUGCUGGAGGUAUCAGAAGUGCGAAUGCUGACAUAAGUAACGAUAAAGCGGGUGAAAAGCCCGCUCGCCGGAAGACCAAGGGUUCCUGUCCAACGUUAAUCGGGGCAGGGUGAGUCGACCCCUAAGGCGAGGCCGAAAGGCGUAGUCGAUGGGAAACGGGUUAAUAUUCCCGUACUUGGUGUUACUGCGAAGGGGGGACGGAGAAGGCUAUGUUGGCCGGGCGACGGUUGUCCCGGUUUAAGCGUGUAGGUGUGUGUUCCAGGUAAAUCCGGUUCACUUUAACACUGAGGCGUGAUGACGAGGCACUACGGUGCUGAAGCAACAAAUGCCCUGCUUCCAGGAAAAGCCUCUAAGCAUCAGGUAACAUCAAAUCGUACCCCAAACCGACACAGGUGGUCAGGUAGAGAAUACCAAGGCGCUUGAGAGAACUCGGGUGAAGGAACUAGGCAAAAUGGUGCCGUAACUUCGGGAGAAGGCACGCUGACACGUAGGUGAAGUGAUUUACUCAUGGAGCUGAAGUCAGUCGAAGAUACCAGCUGGCUGCAACUGUUUAUUAAAAACACAGCACUGUGCAAACACGAAAGUGGACGUAUACGGUGUGACGCCUGCCCGGUGCCGGAAGGUUAAUUGAUGGGGUCAGCGCAAGCGAAGCUCCUGAUCGAAGCCCCGGUAAACGGCGGCCGUAACUAUAACGGUCCUAAGGUAGCGAAAUUCCUUGUCGGGUAAGUUCCGACCUGCACGAAUGGCGUAAUGAUGGCCAGGCUGUCUCCACCCGAGACUCAGUGAAAUUGAACUCGCUGUGAAGAUGCAGUGUACCCGCGGCAAGACGGAAAGACCCCGUGAACCUUUACUAUAGCUUGACACUGAACAUUGAGCCUUGAUGUGUAGGAUAGGUGGGAGGCUUUGAAGUGUGGACGCCAGUCUGCAUGGAGCCGGCCUUGAAAUACCACCCUUUAAUGUUUGAUGUUCUAACGUGGACCCGUGAUCCGGGUUGCGGACAGUGUCUGGUGGGUAGUUUGACUGGGGCGGUCUCCUCCUAAAGAGUAACGGAGGAGCACGAAGGUUGGCUAAUCCUGGUCGGACAUCAGGAGGUUAGUGCAAUGGCAUAAGCCAGCUUGACUGCGAGCGUGACGGCGCGAGCAGGUGCGAAAGCAGGUCAUAGUGAUCCGGUGGUUCUGAAUGGAAGGGCCAUCGCUCAACGGAUAAAAGGUACUCCGGGGAUAACAGGCUGAUACCGCCCAAGAGUUCAUAUCGACGGCGGUGUUUGGCACCUCGAUGUCGGCUCAUCACAUCCUGGGGCUGAAGUAGGUCCCAAGGGUAUGGCUGUUCGCCAUUUAAAGUGGUACGCGAGCUGGGUUUAGAACGUCGUGAGACAGUUCGGUCCCUAUCUGCCGUGGGCGCUGGAGAACUGAGGGGGGCUGCUCCUAGUACGAGAGGACCGGAGUGGACGCAUCACUGGUGUUCGGGUUGUCAUGCCAAUGGCACUGCCCGGUAGCUAAAUGCGGAAGAGAUAAGUGCUGAAAGCAUCUAAGCACGAAACUUGCCCCGAGAUGAGUUCUCCCUGAGACUUUAGGUCUCCUGAAGGAACGUUGAAGACGACGACGUUGAUAGGCCGGGUGUGUAAGCGCAGCGAUGCGUUGAGCUAACCGGUACUAAUGAACCGUGAGGCUUAACCUUACA
rnacentral:rRNA from 1 species